rnacentral:rRNA from 1 species
AAUAUUUUAUUUUAUUAUUAAUUAGUAUUGCAUACUAUUAUAGGAAAAUUUUAUAUAUAUAAAAUAUAGAAACAGGAGGUAAAAAAACCUUUAGGCUUUAUUGUUACAAAAUAAAUAUUAUUUGGUUUUGGUUUUGAUAAAACGUCUUCUGUGAUAUCUGUUUAUUUUUAAACUAUUAGAAAAUUAUAGUUUAUAUUUUUAUAAAAGGAAAAAUAAAAUUUGAAGUGUUUUUAUUUUAUGUUUUAUAACUUUUUCUUAAAUUUUAAUUUUACUUAUUUCUUUUCUUUUUAUUUUUAAAAAGAUUAAUAAUUUAUAAAUUAGUACUUAAAAAAAAUUUUAUUUUUUGAUAAAAUUUUAAUAAGAGAACUUGAGUUCUUGGUCAAAUGUUUUUUAAAGACUUAGGCUUUAAAUUAAAGCUGGCUUCUGCCCUAUGAUUUUUUAAAUGGCAGUCUUAGCGUGAGGACAUUAAGGUAGCAAAAUAAUUUGUGCCUUUAUUGGGUUCCAGUAUGAAUGAAGUUAUUGGCUGGUUAUUUUCUUUUAUUAUAAAGGAACUUAAUAUUUAUUUAAUAAAAAAUAAUUGUGAUUAAACAAAGAUAAGUCUUCGGAAAUUCUUUUUAUAUUUUUUCUUUUGUUAAAAUAUAAAAUUUUCUAGGGCAGAAAUUUAUAUAAUUAUUUUUACUAAAAAUAACUUAAUGAAUUACUCCGGAGUUAACAGAAAAUCAUAUCUUAUCCAGUUCUUAUGGUAGUGAUAAGUUUUACAUCGAUGUUGUAUUCCUAUAAACUGGAAAAGGAGAUGGUCUAGUUAUUGAGACUGUUCUUCUUCUAAAUAAUAGGACUUGAUAUUAGUUUAAUUCAUUGUGAGAUAGAAUUGUUUAUCUUGUUAAUCACUAAGAAAUAAUAUAUUUAUUAAAAGGAAAGCAUGA